GGGUUCCCAUGCUGCUCUGCCCGUUCCUGCCCAGCAGCUCCUCCAGAACACUCCUCACAGGAUUGCUGCAGCCUGGGAGGGCAGAGCUGCUCCUCUGGGCGCUCUGCUCUGUGGAGGCCGUGUCCUCUCAGACCUGCUGCACUCUGAAUAUAAACCCCCCUUUGUUGGGCACGGGGUGACUUGGCUGAGCCACAUGAUCAGUCAGGUGACAAAAUUGGGCACCAAAGCGGAGCAGAAUGAGCAGCUGGGUGAGGGCAGGAGCUGCUGAUCUCGCCUCUUGACAGGCUGUGUUACUCCUCAGGGAAAAAUGAGUGCCUGGCUCUGUCCUCUGCUGUGCAGCUUAACCAUGGUGUGCUUAACAGGUAUUGCUUUAGGCCAGACAACCAGCACUGGGGUUCCCAUUGGAUCCACCCCAGCACCUCCCAGUACAACCAGCACUGGGGUUCCCAAUACAACCAGCACUGGGGUUCCCAUUGGAUCCACCCCAGCACCUCCCAGUACAACCAGCACUGGGGUUCCCAAUACAACCAGCACUGGGGUUCCCAUUGGAUCCACCCCAGCACCUCCCAGUACAGCCCCUGCUCCAGCCUCUGCUCCCCCAGCUGCUGCUGCAACACUCUCAGCUGGGCUGACAGCAACCACUGCAGGCCCUGCUGCAUCCACAGCAGCUCCAUCUGCUGAUCCAAGCACAAAAACCCCUGCCCAGACUCUGCCCUCCACCACGGGGACUGUCCCCACCUCUCAGACUUCAGCACUGGCAGCCACAUCCAGCAGUGUCCCAGCGUCCCCUCCAGGAGUGACCCCAUCCCCUGGGCUCCCAUCAUCAGCUCUGCCCCCCAGCACCCCCCAGCCCUCCAACUGCAGCACAGAGAACGUGACAGCCUGUUUCCCCUGCCCCCCAGGGACAGCCCCCACACAAGGCAUCCUGAGCUGCUCGUGCUGCCCGGGGGGAGCGUGCAGCGACCCCNNNNNNNNNNNNNNNNNNNNNNNNNCCAGAGGGGGCAGCGCUCCUGCCUGCCCUGCCCUCAAGGCUCCUACACCAGCCUCCCAAGGAGCUCUGUGUGCCUUCCCUGCCCACCAGGACAUUUUGCUAAUGAGUCUGGGGCUGCAGCCUGCAGGGCCUGUGAGCGAGGCUAUUAUAGCUCCAAGCAAAAUGCAGCUUUUUGUCUGCCUUGCCAGCCAGGAUCCUUCUGCAAGUACAUUCAAAGGUGCCAAUGACAGCAGAUGCAAGGCCUGCAGGACAGGGGAGUACCAACUACAGCGGGGCAAGGAGAGCUGUGAGCAGUGCCCAGAAAACCACUACUGCCCUAGCCCGGAUGUGAAGCCAGUGAAGUGCCCCCCUGAUGCCUUCUGCCCGCGGGGCAGCGUGGAGCCCACCUACUGCAUGGAGCUGUUCCUGUACAAGGCAGGGGACUCCUGCCAGCUGACCCCUGCCACCGUCAUUGUCCUGGCCACCUUCUCAGCAGGUGGAAUCCUUGUUGUGUUUCUGAUCAUCCUGAGGAGCCGACAGGAGCACGGCAGGAGCUCCCUGAAGUCGCCGCUGCUGCCCCGGGGCUCAGGGCUGGGCUCCUACGGGGGCACGGAGCACACGGAGCCCGUCUAUGCGGGCUGGUAG
rnacentral:lncRNA from 1 species